rnacentral:rRNA from 1 species
CGCAUCAUCGACCGAUCCUGAUGUUCUCGGAUGGAUUUGAGUAAGAGCAUACGGGGCCGGACCCGAAAGAAGGUGAACUAUGCCUGUGUAGGGUGAAGCCAGAGGAAACUCUGGUGGAGGCUCGCAGCGGUUCUGACGUGCAAAUCGAUCGUCAAACAUGGGCAUGGGGGCGAAAGACUAAUCGAACCUUCUAGUAGCUGGUUUCCGCCGAAGUUUCCCUCAGGAUAGCAGUGUUGAACUCAGUUUUAUGAGGUAAAGCGAAUGAUUAGGGACUCGGGGGCGCUAUUUAGCCUUCAUCCAUUCUCAAACUUUAAAUAUGUAAGAAGCUCUUGUUGCUUAAUUGAACGUGAGCAUUCGAAUGUAUCAACACUAGUGGGCCAUUUUUGGUAAGCAGAACUGGCGAUGCGGGAUGAACCGAACGCGAGGUUAAGGUGCCAGAGUAGACGCUCAUCAGACACC